rnacentral:rRNA from 1 species
AAACGGAAGAGGUUGGAAUCUUAUCGAAAGGGGGGAAUCAACCUGGCCUUUACUCAAGCCCCUGUGCGUCGCGAAACGUUGUCGGCAGCCGGACCAGAACUAGUUGACGGUUCCCGGUGUUAGGCGGCAGCGGCGGCGUACUAGGUGCGGUUGCGCGAGAUGGCUGAGUGCACUUACCCCCUAGUAGACGCUGCGACCCGUUGGGUACAGCAACCCGGCCUAGGGACCUGGAAUUGAGACCGAGGCGCUCCGGUUAGGUGUCGUGUUGGAAGGUUUAAUCGCCUUCCCGGCCACGGAGUAUGCCGAGGACCCGGGUUCUCCCGGCCGGGGCUCGACGGAAAGACAAUGGAUUUGGGGCGAUGCCCGCUAAAAAAUUGGAGCGUCCGAGGGGCCAGCAAGACCACCUCGUGCUUGCAGCAGCGUCGCGCGCCCUAGUGCGCGCGGUCGUUCCGGUUAGCGUAGCAAUGGAGACGCGCCGGGCCACGGGUGUCUGCUGGUUGGCUCACGAGUAUCUCUCGGAUCUGGACUUGCGCCCCUGUCCGCGGCGCCAUUCCUUCCGAUGCUCUUCCGAC